GACAGAGGUGCCAAGCGUUAGGCGGAAUCACUGGGCUUAAAGCGUGUGUAGGCGGAAUGGUAAGUACCUUGUGAAAUCCCACGGCUCAACCGUGGAACUGCUUGGUAUACUGCUUUCUUGAGCCACUUAGGGGCAACCGGAACAAACGGUGGAGCGGUGAAAUGCGUAGAUAUCGUAAGGAAGACCAGUGGCGAAGGCGGGUCUCUGGACAGUUCCUGACGCUGAGGCACGAAGGCCAGGGGAGCAAACGG
rnacentral:rRNA from 1 species